GACGAACGCUGGCGGCGUGCUUAACACAUGCAAGUCGAACGGAAAGGCGCCUUUGGGGGUUCUCGAGUGGCGGACGGGUGCGGAACACGAAAGUAACCUGCACCUGACUUUGGGAUAAGUUCAGGAUAGUGGGGCUAAUACCGGUUAGGGAUACUUGUUUCAUCGUGGGGGUUGGAAAGCUUCGGAGGGUUUUGAUGUGAUUGCGGGUUAUCUGCUUGCUGGAGUGGUAGUGGCUUACCGAAGCGUCGGCGGGUAGCCGGCCUGAGAGGGCGACCGGCGACAUAGGGACUGAGAGACGGCCCAGAUACGUACGGGUGGCAGAUGGGGGGAAUAUUGAACAAUGGGCGGAAGCCUGAUGCAGCAGGGCCGCGUGCGGGAUGACGGUCUUCGGGUUGUAAACCGCAUUCAGCAGGGGCGAAGCUUGUGGUGACGGUACCUGCAGAAGAAGCACCGGCUAACUACGUG
rnacentral:rRNA from 1 species